UACGGGGGGGCAAGCGUUGUUCGGAAUUACUGGGCGUAAAGGGCUCGUAGGUGGCCAACUAAGUCGGACGUGAAAUCCCUCGGCUUAACCGGGGAACUGCGUCUGAUACUGGAUGGCUUGAGUUCGGGAGAGGGAUGCGGAAUUCCAGGUGUAGCGGUGAAAUGCGUAGAUAUCUGGAGGAACACCGGUGGCGAAGGCGGCAUCCUGGACCGAUAUUGACGCUGAGGAGCGAAAGCCAGGGGAGCAAAGCGGG
rnacentral:rRNA from 1 species